CAGCCGCCGCGGGAAUACGUAGGUGGCAAGCGUUGUCCGGAAUUAUUGGGCGUAAAGGGCUCGCAGGCGGUUUCUUAAGUCUGAUGUGAAAGCCCCCGGCUCAACCGGGGAGGGUCAUUGGAAACUGGGAAACUUGAGUGCAGAAGAGGAGAGUGGAAUUCCACGUGUAGCGGUGAAAUGCGUAGAGAUGUGGAGGAACACCAGUGGCGAAGGCGACUCUCUGGUCUGUAACUGACGCUGAGGAGCGAAAGCGUGGGGAGCGAACAGGAUUAGAUACCCGCGUAGUCCCUGUCUCUUAUAC
rnacentral:rRNA from 1 species